AGCACUUAACUCACCUGUACAGUGUCUAUCUUCUCUGAAGGCUUAGAAGCCCCAGGAGGGCAUAGAUAACACCUGUCUGGUUCACUGCGGUACCUCGAGUUCAGAAAGUGCCUGGCACAUAACAGAAAAAUAAAGAGCUACUAAUAAGUACUGCAAAUAGCAAGGUCCAUGAAAGCAAGACUUUCCAUGGAGAAAAUGGGAGACUGGUUCCCCUUGCUCUGUUUUGAGAAGGCCAAACACAAACCAAGGUAGAACCCAAGAUAGGAGCCACUCAAGCUGCUUCAAAUCAAAGUUGGGCCAGAGGUAAGAUGUUUAGAAUCUUCUUAAUCCUACCAACUAUACAGAUCUUUACUGUUUUGGACAUUUGCUUUUCUUCUCUUGUAUUUAUCCAUGUAAAGUCUUAUUUAAUUAAUGGUUGAAUCUAUACAUAUUUUAAACUCCCCAUUGUUGUAUGAAGAGUCUGUAUGUUAAUAAACUGACUGACUGAUUCACCUUAACUGAACAUUUGGUGUAACAGCUGGGGGCAAGGGAAAUGAAGAGGAAAUGAAGCAAAGACUCCUCCAUGUUUCUGUUCUUCUCUUACCAGGAAAUGAAGACUGUAUCUUCAUGCCCACAGGUGAAGUAGCUCAGCAUCCUUUCCUAUCUGCAUGUAAAUACAUGGACCCAAUAGGUAAAUUAUACCCUAGAACAAAAUGUUUGUAAGUUUUGGGAAAAAAUAAGAUAAUGUGCAGAGACAAACAGAAAAAAAAGUGCUUCCUUUCUCUCCUUCUCCAAACAAUCUGCUAUGUACGAAAGAACCUAAAGAACGUCAAUCCUAUUUCUGCCCUGAAAGGAGAUGCCUUAGGAUCAGAAGGGGUACUUGUUAUACCAUAUGAGUAAUAAGCCAUGUUUGCCUCAAGUCCUACUGGAGAAUAAUGCCAAUUAUCUCAAGGUUUUCCACUUCCAUGAAACUUUUUUUAUGGCUGCCACAUUUAGCAAGUUGUUAAAAAAAAAACCCUGGUUGCUUACUUUAGGGUGAAAACAACUCUAGCUAUUAGGAAGCUAUGCAUCAACAUAUAAUAAAGUUAGCUGAAAUCUAUGCAGCAACAGGGAAAGUGGUAGACUAAACUCUGUGAUCCUACAAUUUGCACUAGCACUGAUUUGAGAGGACAGAAUUCUUCCUUCCUCUCAGAAAGAUGAGAGAUGAUUCUGCCAGAAAUACAGGAAUCUGCAUACUUCCCAAAGAGUAAAAUACAAAUUUAAGAACCUGACAUUAUAAAAUUGUCCUAUUUAAUUGAUUUCAUACCAUUUUAUUCUGGCAGAGAGCUUGCACUUGGGCAAAAAUGGCAUUUUUGACUCCAGUCUACAGGGAUUUUAUAACUUUAUCCACCUGCCCAACACAACUAUGCCAAGGCCGGGAGUGAUGGCUCAUGCCUGUAAUCCCAGCACUUUGGGAGGCCAAGGAAAGAGGAUCACUUGAGCUCAGGAGUUUGAGACCUGCCUAGACAACACAGUGAGACCUUGUCUCUACAACAAACAAACAAACAAACAAAAUAAACAUUAACUAUGCUCUUUGUCACUCAAAC
rnacentral:lncRNA from 1 species